rnacentral:lncRNA from 1 species
UUUUCCUAAUGAGCUCUAAUAGUAUUGUUUUGAAAAGUUUAGUCAAAUACUUAUAAAUAUUGGCUAUGUAUAACUUAUUAUACUCACCAAUUAAUAUACCGAUAAACUUUUAUACAUAUAAAGUAAAAUUAUACCUCAUAAAGAAUAAAAAUUAAAAUACAAUAAUAAAAGCUUAAUUCCACAUAGAUGGUCGCGGCGGAUCAUAUGCAAUAUUGUCAUCUUCAGAUAUAAGAUUUAUUUGACAAUAUUGGUAUAGAUAUUGCUGGUACUAUGAGAAAGUCAUAUAUUGCCGGUACAUCUCAUUGUGAGAAAUUUGAUUACGGAGUUCAAUUUUCUGCCCCUGAUUCUUUGAAACCUUUACGGUGCGACAAAUUUUAGAAAAAUAAUUUGUGAAAAAAAAGCGGAUGUCUGUGGUGGAAGCAGAGGGCUCGGGGGUUCCACCUCCCGUGAAACAAAUCAGAUCUAAAAAUUAAAAAUUUGACCAUAUAAUAAUUAAAUCAAGAACUAUUUUUAACUUUUUUAUAAAUUAUACAUUAAAAAUUAUCUAAUUUUAUAUUUUUUCAAAAAUGAGUUUUGCAAAUAAAAAAUAUUUAAAAUAUAUAAAUAAAAAUUUAAAUCAUAAUUUCUUUUACUUACCUAAUAAGUAAAUUUUUAAUUUGUAAUUUCUUUAUCUCUUUUUUAGAGACGAAAGAAGUAAAAAAAAAAUAAAAAGAGAGUCAAAAAUGGGAGAAAAAAAAUUGAGAAAGAUAUAUAAAAAAAAAGGGAAAGAAAAAAAGAGUGGUAUGCUUAA